rnacentral:rRNA from 1 species
UACGGGGGGGGCAAGCGUUGUUCGGAAUUACUGGGCGUAAAGGGCUCGUAGGCGGCCAACUAAGUCCGACGUGAAAUCCCCAGGCUUAACCUGGGAACUGCGUCGGAUACUGGAUGGCUUGAAUCCGGGAGAGGGAUGCAGAAUUCCAGGUGUAGCGGUGAAAUGCGUAGAUAUCUGGAGGAAUACCGGUGGCGAAGGCGGCAUCCUGGACCGGCAUUGACGCUGAAGCGCGAAAGCUAGGGGAGCAAACGGG